AUUCAAGCCACUAUUGCCUUUUCUCUAAGUUAUUGUGUUGGCCACUGACUUAGCCUGCCAGUCUCCAGUCUUGCCUUCUUCCACUUUAUUUUCCACAUUAUGUGUGAUGCUUCUAAAACACAAAUGCACCAUGCUAUUUUACUUACAGCCCUUCUAUGACUUCCCAUUACUUUAAGAUAAAUUCCAAACUCUACCACAUGGUUUACAAUACCUUUUCUAAUGUAGUCUCUAUUUUCCCAGUCUUAUCUUAAGCACUUUUCUUUUUAUCUAAUCUUUAACUUUAUUGAAUUAUUUUCAAUUACUCAAAGACAAGUUCUCUCUCACCUCCAAGCAUUUGCAUUGGGAUUCUCCCUGCCUGGAAUACUUUCUUCCACAUUUUCUAUCCGGCCAACUCCUAACCAUUCUUCACAUUUCAGCAAGAAGUCUUUCCUGAAACCCCAGACUGGGUGGAGUCCCCACUCUGUGCUUCUAGAACAUUUAUGGCAUGCAUUUAAAGUGGUCUGUUUGCCUGGCUGCGUCUCUCCUUAAGCUCCAUGAGGAGAAUCUGUUUCAUUCACUUCUCUAUCCACUGUGCCUGGGCCUGAAACAUGGCAGAUACUUAGUAAAUAUUGAAUAAAUGAGAGAAAAGCAGCACCAGGAUGAAAAUGGAAGCAUAUUUACCUGGCAUCACAAGCCUAGAUUGUACUACUGAGCAAGAGUAAUCUUCACAGUCACAUUUGCAUUCCUGCUGCGUUCCAGGCACCAUUCAAAGCAAUUUCCAUACAUGUGCUUUUCCCAGCAACCCAAAGUAGAUGAGGAUUUUGAUGCCUAGAUAAAUAAGGCAACUUGCCAAAGGUAAACACUCACUCAUUUGAAGCUUUGGCCUUGAAGAUUUCAAAGGAAGGAGCUGAGAUGUAAGUAAGCAGAAGAUGCUUUUUCCUCGAUUUAUGUCGUCUGGAGUUCUGGAGUGGAGCUGUUGCCCUGGGUUGGUGCGCUGAAGACCACCAUUGCAAUCACAGCUGGUGCCCUGCACAGAGAGGACCGGAACAACCCCAGUCGGACCUUUCCUGCAAAUGCAGUGCCACUGGUAUCCAGAGGUUUAAACCUGACUCUUCUAGAGAGGAGGCUAGAGAACUCAGGGUGAGUAGUUUGCUGCCAUCCCCGUAUGAAGCAAAGCUCUGUGUGGUUCUACUGACUCUGCUUCCUGUGAAAGGGUGGUUACUUUCCUAUCCUGUGCCGAGUGCCAUUUUAUAUCCUCCUUGUAAUCAAUUAUUGGUUACUAAGUUCCCAUUUGUCUAGGCCAAAAAAAGAGUAUUUAUUCCUGUUAUUUAAUCUCUACUUGGAACUUGGCCCCAAACUCUGGAAAUUAAGGUGCCUCACAUUUGCUCUUAGAACUUGCUGCCUGCUGUUGAUCUCCUGCCUUGCCCUUGCUUGGUAGGCACUCUGCUUUUGAAACUUGGACACCCCGUAUACAAGCUGCCUUCGUCUAUUCGCUUAUUCAGUCAUUUUUCCAAAACUCAACAAAGACUGAUCUCCCAAAUUAGAACCACUUUUGAACUAACGUGGUUUUUUUUUCCUAUUGGUGUAUUCUGGAUCUAAUGCUCUGACAUCUGGCGUAGGUUCCCAGCUCUACUCUGACCACAUUCUGAUCCUGACUAUCACUAGACCAAGUCUGUUUUUGAGCAUGGUAUGCAUAUGGGCUAGACAUUAAAACAUUGGAAAAGUCAGGAAUGUUUAAAAUAACUGCUCAUCAUACAAGUGUAACUUGAUUAUCGAAGAUCCUUACGUUCUAUUUUCAAUAAAAGGUUUUUAGUGAUUCUUCAGCAAUGUUAGAAGCAGAGUUGAAUUUCUUACAUUAUGAGGAAAUAGGCUAUAAUUCAAUUAUUAGGAAAUAUUAGUAUUUUAUUUCAAGCGUUCUUAUUUCAGUGUUGUCUUUAAAUUUCAGUUGUUUGAAAUGACUUCAAAUCUUAUUAGGGUAAUCUUGAUCGUGUCGCUGAUUUCCAAACCUGUAAGUGCAAUGAAUCAGCGGUUCCACUUGGAAAGAGAACCGUUUUCGGUUGAAUGAGAAUGACGUCACACUCACACCUGCAAAAUCUGAAAUGUCUAAUAAAGUAGAUUCCUAUGUCUGAACUUCAAUUUUAGGGCACAGCUGUAGAUGCAGGACUGAUGCCAUCUGGUGCAGUUCCACAGAAAAAGAGAUAAAAUUUACCCAGAGUGUGCCAUGCACUGGCUUUUCUGGGAAUGACAAGGUGCCAGGAUUUGUUUUUGGUUCAUUUGCAGGGGUGGAAACUUGGAACGAGGUGAGUAAAGUACACGCACUGUCCCCAUUUAUAGCUUGACAUUUUAUAUUUCCAAUUCUGUUUAUAGUUUUAAAAUAAGUGCAAAAGAGUUAAUUUUUUUAAAUGGCCCAGCAUUUAAACAUUGUAAAUAGUUCAACCAUUUAGGAUAGUGGGAAAUGUUUACUUUUUCUAACUCAUACUUACUAAUAGGGACUUUUAGAAUGCUAAUGGUACUAAUGCAGUACAUAGAAAAUAUGUACAGAGUACUGUACUUUGGUUUUAGUUUUUAUAGCUACUCUGAGGUAGGUGUACUUAUUUAAGCUAAAACUACAAUUAAAAUUCUAGUAUCAUCAGGAAAUCACUGUCAGGUGUCUGUGUCACAUACAAGAGAAAGCUAAAAAUUGAGCUGCAGAUCUUUGAAGUUAAUUUUGGGGGGUGGGGUUGAAUCAGUGAAAUCACUUCUCAACUCUACAUUUCUUACUUUGUCCACACAAAAUAAGAUUAUACAUUAAAAAAUGACCUGAUUAAUUAUCUGAGUAGUAGCACCUUACUCCAUAGGAAUGUGGGCAAUCAGGGCAGACCCGUGCUUAGAACAAGUCAGAACAUAAUAGGCACUCAGGAAAAGAUCCUGAUCAAUUAAGUUAAAAAUCCUCUUGUUUUCCUUAAUAGCAGCCAUUUUAUGUAGUAAGCCUAAUCAUUUCUUCCACUGUUGUGCUGUGUAGACGUGGGUAGUUUGAAGUUAAAAUUUUUAUACUUUUGUUUUAUUAGUGUGACACUAUGAAGUUACUUGAACUUCAUUGAAUAUAUAUGAUUCUUCAGGCAAGUUUUUUACAUUAAGACGGAAAUCUUGCUUUCCUAUUGGGAAUCAAGAUGGAUUCCUAUCUCAGUAAUAGAGUAGGAAGUUAUCGAACCAAACAGUAGCUUAAACAAAGUAGGGGUUUUGUUUCGUUCUCAGGUGACAAGGAGGUUAGGGGUAAACUAUUGCUGGUGUUGGUUCAGCAGCUCACAGAUGUCAGGGUCAAGGUAGCCCCUGAGGUUCCCUUGGCUUUUCCCUUAGGUUCCAAGAUGGUUGCUGCAGCUCCCCCAGGAAGAUGAAGGAAGCUGAAAGGGAAAACAGGGCACGCCAUUUUGAUUCUGCUUCCUUUUAAAGAGCUUUCUCAGAAGCCUGCAACUUUUACUUACAUCUCAUUGUCCAGACUGUGUCAUAUCUACGAGGCUGCGUGAGAAAUGUAGUUUUUGUAGCUGGACAUAUGACUGCCUUCAACAAAAAAGUCUAAGGAAAUCUAAGGAAAAAAGACGAUGGUGAAUCUUUGGGAAACAAACCAGCAGUCUGUGCCCUGGCUACAAAAUACAAUUGUAAAGGAGCAUAAUGAUUGAAACAGAUCAAAUCUGUAAUUCCUUCACAACUGACAGUACUCCAGGCAACACUGCUCUGCCCAGAGAGUGAGCAGAGUGAAGACAUCCUAGGUUUUUUCUUGAAACACCUGCCAAAACAGGCUUUCGCAGGCAGCUGAUAUGCUUGCCCCACAUCAGGAUUUUCUAGAGGAGGACCCUGGGAACCUGUAUACUUCCUUGGAGGACAUAAUCUAUGGAAGUUUGGAAUGGGAUAAAGAAGGCUCUACCUUGCUGCUUUCCCAUCUGCUUUAUGUAUCUCUAAUUUUCCUUACAGAUUUUUGGUGGAGUCUAGUUUGUGUUUGAUCCCUAGAAAAGGAUCAUCCCUUUCAUACAUAGGAAAAGGUAAUCUAUGUAAAGAAAGGCUACUUACUGCCUUCUCUGACUCCACCACCAAUCUAGGAAUAUCCUGAGAGAAGACUUGCUUCUCAAAGCUGCUUCCAUAAUCAGCCUACAUCCUGCCUAAGCAAAGGAAGAAGAAACACUUCCCACUCCAGGGCUGUCCAAAAGAACUUUCUGUGAUGACAGAAAUGUUCUAUAUUUGCACUGUCCAAUAUGGUAGCCACUAGCCAUGUGUGACUAGUGAACACUUGAAAUAUGGCUAGUGUGACUGAGGAAGUAAAUUUUAAUUUUAUUUAAUUUUAAAUAAUUAAAAUGUAAAUAGCCAUAUGUGGCUAGUGGCUCUUGUGUUGUACAACACAGUACACAACUUUUUCUUGUGUUUUCCAACUACCUGAGAGGGGUUUGAGCCAGUCAUGUGCUCGGUGUUCCAUCAUCUUCACUAUUCCACCUUGCCAUUGAACUUGUGUCCCAGAGAAAAUGAAAAAUGGUAUCUCGGAACUAAAUGCAAGAUGUUAACUCGACAUCUAUACAUUGUACUGAUUUCUGUAUAAAUGGAAUGAUCUCCUGGGAAUAGGUCCUGUGAUUGAUUUUUGCGAUAAUUGAUGGUGGACAAAUGGUGGUGGUGCUGGUCCACUUACCAUUCCUAGCGAACGUUAUGUGUUCCUGGUCAGAGUGAGUCAGCAGGAAUCAUUUUGUUCUGUUGUGCAAUUCAUUCUGGUUUAUUUUUGUAAUAUUGUGGCUGCUAAGUGAUUAUUCCAUGUGUGUUUUUCAAAAUACUUAGUGGUUUAUAUUUUUUAAAAGGCUGUGAAAUAAAAAAAAAUUAUAUGUAACUCA
ensembl:lncRNA uncharacterized LOC105239565